rnacentral:rRNA from 1 species
UUAGGAAUAUUGCACAAUGGGCGAAAGCCUGAUGCAGUGACGCCGCGUGGGUGAUGAAGGUCUUCGGGCUGUAAAACCCUUUUCUGGGAGAAGAGCAAGGACGGUAUCCCAGGAAUAAGUCUCGGCUAACUACGUGCCAGCAGCCGCGGUAAAACGUAGGAGGCAAGCGUUAUCCGGAUUUACUGGGCGUAAAGCGCACGCAGGUGGCCUCUUAAGUCGGACGUGAAAUCUCCUGGCUCAACUAGGAGGCGUCGUUUGAUACUGGGAGGCUUGAGGGCGGGAGAGGGAAGCGGAAUUCCCGGUGUAGCGGUGGAAUGCGCAGAUAUCGGGAAGAACACCAGUGGCGAAAGCGGCUUCCUGCCCCGUUCCUGACGCUCAGGUGCGAAAGCGUGGGGAGCAAACGGGAUUAGAUACCCCGGUAGUCCACGCCGUAAACGAUGGAUGCUAGGUGUUGGUGGUGUUGACCCCAUCGGCGCCGAAGCUAACGCGUUAGGCAUCCCGCCUGGGGAGUACGGUCGCAAGGCUA